rnacentral:rRNA from 1 species
AGUGAACGCUGGCGGUAGGCCUAACACAUGCAAGUCGAACGGCAGCACAGUAAGAGCUUGCUCUUACGGGUGGCGAGUGGCGGACGGGUGAGGAAUACAUCGGAAUCUACUUUUUCGUGGGGGAUAACGUAGGGAAACUUACGCUAAUACCGCAUACGACCUACGGGUGAAAGCAGGGGAUCUUCGGACCUUGCGCGAUUGAAUGAGCCGAUGUCGGAGUAGCUAGUUGGCGGGGUAAAGGCCCACCAAGGCGACGAUCCGUAGCUGGUCUGAGAGGAUGAUCAGCCACACUGGAACUGAGACACGGUCCAGACUCCUACGGGAGGCAGCAGUGGGGAAUAUUGGACAAUGGGCGCAAGCCUGAUCCAGCCAUACCGCGUGGGUGAAGAUGGCCUUCGGGUUGUAAAGCCCUUUUGUUGGGAAAGAAAAGCAGCAGGUUAAUACCCCGCUGUUCUGACGGUACCCAAAGAAUAAGCACCGGCUAACUUCGUG